rnacentral:misc_RNA from 1 species
UCUCAGGAGGACAUCGCCAC